AACCAAUCACAGGAGAAGAACAGAGAAGAGUUGAUAUGGAGGACGAAGAGGUCCCACAAGGACCAAGGCCGGAUUUGCGACGUUAUAUGGAAAUGUUGGUUAGAGAAGAGAGGAGGAAGCAUGCUUGUAUGAGGUGCAAGGAGUUCGGGCACCUCGGGCACCAGUGCCAUCUGCCCUGGGUGGAGUCCAAAGAAAGUCCCGAACAUUAUGCAAGAAGAACCAGGGGGCGCCGUAGGCGUUAGAGAUCACUCUAGUGAUCUCAGUACAUGCACCGUUCUAUACCCUGUUCGCUAAGAGAGCAUGCCGGGCAGUGUUGG